AGCGAACGCUGGCGGCAGGCCUAAUACAUGCAAGUCGAACGGCUCUUCGGAUGCUGACGAGUGGCGAACGGGUGAGUAAUACAUCGGAACGUGCCUAGUAGUGGGGGAUAACUACUCGAAAGAGUGGCUAAUACCGCAUGAGAUCUACGGAUGAAAGCAGGGGAUCGCAAGACCUUGUGCUACUAGAGCGGCCGAUGGCAGAUUAGGUAGUUGGUGGGAUAAAAGCUUACCAAGCCGACGAUCUGUAGCUGGUCUGAGAGGACGAUCAGCCACACUGGGACUGUGACACGGCCCAGACUCCUACGGGAGGCAGCAGUGGGGAAUUUUGGACAAUGGGCGCAAGCCUGAUCCAGCAAUGCCGCGUGCAGGAUGAAGGCCUUCGGGUUGUAAACUGCUUUUGUACGGAACGAAAAGCCCUGGGUUAAUACCCUGGGGUCAUGACGGUACCGUAAGAAUAAGCACCGGCUAACUACGUGCCAGCCGCCGCCGUAAUAC
rnacentral:rRNA from 1 species